rnacentral:rRNA from 1 species
GGGCCCGCACAAGCGGUGGAGCAUGUGGUUUAAUUCGAUGCAACGCGAAGAACCUUACCUACUCUUGACAUCCAGAGAACUUAGUAGAGAUACUUUGGUGCCUUUGGGAGCUCUGAGACAGGUGCUGCAUGGCUGUCGUCAGCUCGUGUUGUGAAAUGUUGGUUAAGUCCCGCAACGAGCGCAACCCUUAUCCUUGUUUGCCAGCGAGUAAUGUCGGGAACCCCAGGGAGACUGCCGGUGAUAAACCGGAGGAAGGUGGGGACGACGUCAAGUCAUCAUGGCCCUUACGAGUAGGGCUACACACGUGCUACAAUGGCGUAUACAGAGGGCAGCCCAACUUGCGAAAGUGAG